AUUGAACGCUGGCGGCGGGCCUAACACAUGCAAGUCGAACGAGUGGCGGACGGGUGGGUAAUGUCUGGGAAACUGCCCGAUGGAGGGGGAUACCUACUGGAAACGGUAGCUAAUACCGCAUACCCUCGGAUGUGCCCAGAUGGGAUUAGCUAGUAGGUGGGGUACCGGCUCACCUAGUCGACGAUCCCUAGCUGGUCUGAGAGGAUGACCAGCCACACUGGAACUGAGGCACGGUCCAGACGCCGACGGGAGGACGCAGUGGGGAAUAUUGCACAAUGGGCGAGAGCCUGAUGCAGCCAUGCCGCGUGUAUGAAGAAGGACUUCGGGUUGUAAAUUACUGUCAGCGGGCAGGCGUUACCCGCAGAGGAAGCACCGGCUAACUCCGUGCCAGCAGCCGCGGUAAUAC
rnacentral:rRNA from 1 species